GGAAUCUUGGAAAAUGAGUUUGCACCAGAGGAGGAACUCGCAGAACCUCACCAUCGGCCGCCCAUUUAAAGCAGCGGGUGUGUAGUGGGAGGGGGUGGGAAGCUGCAGCUACAGGGCCCCGAGGUAGGGGAGCGGGUGAGACUGGUGUAACCUGUGUGCACAGCCUUUCCACACAAGAUGUCCUGGUGCUCCUGCUUGUAAACGACAUCAAGCAAGAGGAACAGCGGCUCCUCACGUCCUACCCAAGGACAGUCCAGAAAUCCCAGAUGGCCGGUCGCCUUCUCGCCUCGUCGCUGAGAGCUGGAGAUCAGCUUACGUCGACAGAUAAGAGAGGAAAUGUGCAAGUGUUAUUGAUCUGGCACCCAAGACUUCUGGCUCUUCUUCAAAGUCAAAGUGAUCAUGAAAGAUAAAUGCUUUGAACUGAUUCAGGAGAUUGAGGCAGCAACGACAGUACAACUAAAGAAAGAAGAGUUCUAGAAUUGUUUCAGAAAGUGGCAAGAAUGAUGUGGUAUGUGUAUGUGAAGUGAGGGGGAAC
rnacentral:lncRNA from 1 species